rnacentral:lncRNA from 1 species
CAUUUUUACUACAUUAUAUGCCAUCCUUAUGUAAAGUGUACAAUCAGCUAAUAAUACAAGCAUGACAAGAUAGAUGUAUAAUGAAUGUUUCAUACAGUGAAUAUUGCUUUCUAUGCAGAGUUCAAACAGUUUCCAAGAAGCCUCACAACCAUUUUGAUAUCCUCACCUCUGGAUAAGACAAGAAUACUUUGUGGUGGAAAAGAGCUCUCCCUUCAUAGGAAUGAUUGCUACUGGAGGAGAAUCGUGAGAAGAACAUGGCGAGAUACUGCAGUCAGGCAAUGUCACUUCUCCCAUAGCUGCUUUCGCUGAUCUUCAACUAGGGCUGAAAAAGAUUCUGCAACUAUUUACCCUGGUUGUUGUGAUACCGUACUGGUCGUGCCAAGUGCUGUCAGCCCACGUUUCAGAAACCUGCCAGUAGAAACAGUGACUCACAGAUCCUGUACCUACACUUCUGUUUUACGAAUAUGACUGCAUGGGGACUCAAGCUGAACUCUUUGCUUUUAUUGAAGCAUAAAACUAUUUUAUGAAACAAUAUUUUCAUCUAUUCAAUGUGUUUCUCUGGAUUUAGCCCUUUUUUUUUCCUGUUUAUUAAAAAAGUAAGGAUUCAUAGUUUGUACAUCCCUGACUAGAAUGUUGUCUUAAAAACGUGAAGCAAGUCUAUCUGACUGGUUGGAUAUUAGGAAAAAUUUAUUCUCAAAUAGUGCAGUGAGGCACUGGCUGCUCAGGCAGGUGGUGGAGUCACCGACACUGGAAGUGUUCAAGAGAAGGGGAGAAGUGGUACUUAGUGAUGUGGUUUAGUGGCCAGCAUUGGUGGUAGGUGGACAGUAGGACCAGAUGAUCUUCAAAGUCUUUUCCAACCUCACCAAUUCUAUGACUGAAAUUUCAAAGAAUUAAGCCAUUACAUUAUUGGGACUUUCAUCCCUCUAAAGUCAGACUUGCCUAUAAGUGCACCUUGCUCUCCUGUCUCUUUCCCAUCUUUGUAGCCCUUCACCACCUCUGAGU